GCGUGAUUUAUGGGUGACUACCCAGCGACUAAGAUGUUAAACGGCCGCGGUACCCUAACCGUGCAAAGGUAGCAUAAUCAUUUGCCUUUUAAUUGGAGGCUUGUAUGAAUGGUUUGACGAGAGCUAUGCUGUCUCUAUUAAAAUAAUUAGAAAUUAACUUUUAGGUGAAGAGGCCUAAAUUAAGCUGAAGGGACAAGAAGACCCUGUUGAGCUUUAGUGUGGUUAAGUUACUAAUUUUUUCAUUAUUGAAGAAAAUUGUUUUUUUGAUUCUUUUUUUGUGGGGAUUGAGCACCAUAAAGCGCAGCCGCGGGCAUACUGGUCCCUCAACCUUAGGUGAGGCCUCUUUCACCUUAGAAUUAAAUUUUGAUUAUUUUUGGAGAGGAGGGAUAGCUCACGUGUAACCACGCGAACAACCCCCGCAAUUUAUAGGGAGAGAGCUAAUCGAAAGAUGGGUUGGCGACGUCGCGGUGGCACUAAAAUAUCCAAGGGGUGGAGAAGCUUUACACGGUUGGUCCGUUCCACCCUGAGAGAGCUUUCGUUGUAAAGAGACCCCGGCGGC
rnacentral:rRNA from 1 species